AACGAACGCUGGCGGCAUGCCUAACACAUGCAAGUCGAACGAGACCUUCGGGUCUAGUGGCGCACGGGUGCGUAACGCGUGGGAAUCUGCCCUUGGGUCCGGAAUAACUCAGAGAAAUUUGAGCUAAUACCGGAUGAUGACGUAAGUCCAAAGAUUUAUCGCCCAGGGAUGAGCCCGCGUAGGAUUAGCUAGUUGGUGAGGUAAAGGCUCACCAAGGCGACGAUCCUUAGCGGUCUGAGAGGAUGAUCAGCCACACUGGGACUGAGACACGGCCCAGACUCCUACGGGAGGCAGCAGUGGGGAAUAUUGGACAAUGGGCGAAAGCCUGAUCCAGCAAUGCCGCGUGAGUGAUGAAGGCCUUAGGGUUGUAAAGCUCUUUUACCCGGGAUGAUAAUGACAGUACCGGGAGAAUAACGCCCCGGGCUAACUCCGUGCCAGCAGCCGCAGUAAG
rnacentral:rRNA from 1 species